UACAGAGGUCUCAAGCGUUGUUCGGAUUCAUUGGGCGUAAAGGGUGCGUAGGCGGCGCGGUAAGUCGGGUGUGAAAUCUCGGAGCUUAACUCCGAAACUGCAUUCGAUACUGCCGUGCUUGAGGACUGGAGAGGAGACUGGAAUUUACGGUGUAGCGGUGAAAUGCGUAGAUAUCGUAAGGAAGACCAGUGGCGAAGGCGGGUCCCUGGACAACACCUGACACUGAGGC
rnacentral:rRNA from 1 species